rnacentral:pre_miRNA from 1 species
UAUGUACUCCCUCAGUCCGAAACUACUUGUCGUGGAAAUGAGAAGUAAUGGAUGUAUGUAGAAUUAAUAUACUUCUAGAUAAAUCCAUUUCUCCGGCAAGUAUUUGUGAACAGAGGGAGUACGAG